rnacentral:rRNA from 1 species
GAUGAACGCUGGCUACAGGCUUAACACAUGCAAGUCGAGGGGAAACGACGGGGAAGCUUGCUUCCCCGGGCGUCGACCGGCGCACGGGUGAGUAACGCGUAUCCAACCUGCCUCUGACUGAGGGAUAACCCGUCGAAAGUCGGCCUAAUACCUCAUGGCAUCGUCUGCGGGCAUCCAACGACGAUUAAAGAUUUCAUCGGUCAGGGAUGGGGAUGCGUCUGAUUAGCUUGUUGGCGGGGUAACGGCCCACCAAGGCUACGAUCAGUAGGGGUUCUGAGAGGAAGGUCCCCCACAUUGGAACUGAGACACGGUCCAAACUCCUACGGGAGGCAGCAGUGAGGAAUAUUGGUCAAUGGGCGGGAGCCUGAACCAGCCAAGUAGCGUGCAGGAUGACGGCCCUAUGGGUUGUAAACUGCUUUCAGGCGGGGAUAAAGUGAGGGACGUGUCCUUCAUUGCAGGUACCGCAUGAAUAAGGACCGGCUAAUUCCGUG